AUGUAAUCAUGUACCUUAUAAAUAGGAGAGGGUGGCUAAAGAAUGUCAGCGAUGCAUCAGGCAUAGAGGUAGGGGGGUGCAGCAAAUGCUUUGGGGGAAUGUUGCUAUAAACUGAAUGUUUGUGUUACCUGGAAGUUAAUAUGUUGAAACCAAAUUCCCAUCAUGCUGUUAUCUGGAGGUGAGAUCUUUGGGGAGUCGGGGAUUAGGACACAAGGGCAGAACCUUGAUGAACAAGAUCUAUGCCUUCAUUAAAGAGGCCCCAGAGAGAUUACUUACCCCUUCCUCCAUGUGAGACACAGUGAAAAGACUGCCAUCUAUGACCCAGGUACGAGAUCUGCUGGCGCCUUGAUCUUGGACUUCUGGCCUCCAGAACUGUGAGUAAUUCUUCAUGGCAAAUAGAUGGGGAAACAAUGGAAACACUGACAGACUUUAUUUUUGGGGGGC